rnacentral:rRNA from 1 species
UACGAAGGGGGCUAGCGUUGCUCGGAAUUACUGGGCGUAAAGCGCACGUAGGCGGCUUUCUAAGUCGGGGGUGAAAUCCUGGAGCUCAACUCCAGAACUGCCUUCGAUACUGGAAAGCUCGAGUCCGGGGAGAGGUGAGUGGAACUGCGAGUGUAGAGGUGAAAUUCGUAGAUAUUCGCAAGAACACCAGUGGCGAAGGCGGCUCACUGGCCCGGUACUGACGCUGAGGUGCGAAAGCGUGGGGAGCAAACAGG